rnacentral:tRNA from 5 species
GCUGGCGUGAUGGAAUUGGUAGACGUACUGGACUCAAAAUCCAGCGGGGCGACCCGUGCCGGUUCGACUCCGGCCGCCAGCA